UGAUGUUAAUCAUGUGGUGUCACGUGGGACCCAUGACGUGGCUUUUAGGGUACAUCAAAUCAGGAGGGGCGCGUGGGGGAGAUUGGCGGUGGGCUCAAAAUGGGUCCUACGCUGAUCGUAGGUUAUGCUGCAUGCAUGGGUUUAUUACCUGUUGGAAGGGAACACGCAUAUAUGGUGUUUGAAAAAUAUUAAUUGCUGUAAUUAAUUAAUAUUCAAUGCUCCAAUUAAUUAAAAAGAAAGUUAUUAUUACUAGUCAAAACUAAC
rnacentral:lncRNA from 1 species